GUGGGGAAUAUUGGACAAUGGGCGAAAGCCUGAUCCAGCAAUUCCGCGUGUGUGAAGAAGGCCUUCGGGUUGUAAAGCACUUUAGUGAGGGAAGAAACAGCUUGGCCACACCAAGCCUUGACGGUACCUCAAGAAUAAGCACCGGCUAACUCUGUGCCAGCAGCCGCGGUAAUACAGAGGGUGCAAGCGUUAAUCGGAUUUACUGGGCGUAAAGGGUGCGUAGGUGGUUGUAUAAGUCGGAUGUGAAAGCCCGGGGCUUAACCUCGGAACUGCAUUCGAUACUGUAUGACUAGAGUUCGGUAGAGGGCGGCGGAAUUUCCGGUGUAGCGGUGAAAUGCGUAGAUAUCGGAAGGAACAUCAAUGGCGAAGGCAGCCGCCUGGGCCUGAACUGACACUGAGGCACGAAAGCGUGGGUAGCAA
rnacentral:rRNA from 1 species